UAUGUCCCUCUUGCUGCCGAUAGUGUGUGUGUUCCAUGUUGCUUCCAGUCUUGGGCAAAGCAGCAGCCAGGGGGUCCCCAGGGCCUUCCCCCCAUGCCAGAGCCCCUUCCCAGGCCUGGACCCCUCUUCUCUUUUUCUUCCUUCCAUGGGCCUCCUGCUAGCUCUCCUCCCCUGGUCAACGCUAUUCCUCCCUCUCUUCCCUUGGGGAUACAAAGGGGGUUCUCCCCAGCUUCCCCUCCCCACUGCCCUGGGUUGUGACACAGAUGCUCAGGAGAGGGAAGCCCCCAGGUGACAGGGCCCUCAGAGUUCUCAAGGACUCUUGUCUCUUCCACACCCUCCCUGGCAGUCCCAGAAGCUCUAUGUCUUUAUUCCUAAGGCAGAGCAUGGAGCAAACGGUCCUCCCUCCAGCCUGUCCUUU
rnacentral:lncRNA from 1 species